rnacentral:rRNA from 1 species
CAGUAGCCACGGGAAUACGAAGGGUGAAAGCGUUAAUCGGAAUUACUGGGCGUAAAGCGUGCGUAGGCGGUGAGUUAAGUCUGCUGUGAAAUCCCCGGGCUCAACCUGGGAAUGGCAGUGGAUACUGGCUCGCUAGAGUGUGUCAGAGGAUGGUAGAAUUCCCGGUGUAGCGGUGAAAUGCGUAGAGAUCGGGAGGAACAUCAGUGGCGAAGGCGGCCAUCUGGGACAACACUGACGCUGAGGCACGAAAGCGUGGGGAGCAAACAGGAUUAGAUACCCCGGUAGUCCCUGUCUCUUAUAC